rnacentral:rRNA from 1 species
GAACUGAAGAGUUUGAUCAUGGCUCAGAUUGAACGCUGGCGGCAGGCCUAACACAUGCAAGUCGAGCGGUAGAGAGAAGCUUGCUUCUCUUGAGAGCGGCGGACGGGUGAGUAAUGCCUAGGAAUCUGCCUGGUAGUGGGGGAUAACGUUCGGAAACGGACGCUAAUACCGCAUACGUCCUACGGGAGAAAGCAGGGGACCUUCGGGCCUUGCGCUAUCAGAUGAGCCUAGGUCGGAUUAGCUAGUUGGUGAGGUAAUGGCUCACCAAGGCGACGAUCCGUAACUGGUCUGAGAGGAUGAUCAGUCACACUGGAACUGAGACACGGUCCAGACUCCUACGGGAGGCAGCAGUGGGGAAUAUUGGACAAUGGGCGAAAGCCUGAUCCAGCCAUGCCGCGUGUGUGAAGAAGGUCUUCGGAUUGUAAAGCACUUUAAGUUGGGAGGAAGGGCAUUAACCUAAUACGUUAGUGUUUUGACGUUACCGACAGAAUAAGCACCGGCUAACUCUGUGCCAGCAGCCGCGGUAAUACAGAGGGUGCAAGCGUUAAUCGGAAUUACUGGGCGUAAAGCGCGCGUAGGUGGUUUGUUAAGUUGGAUGUGAAAUCCCCGGGCUCAACCUGGGAACUGCAUUCAAAACUGACUG